UGGAGUAUGUAGACAAUCGCUUCUGUGCUUUCGGGUGCAGGGGAGGAAAGUCCGGGCACUAUCUUGUCUCGCAAGAGACAGAUAAAACGGUAGUGGGUAAUCCCCAUCUACAGUAAUGUAAGAGGUGCGAACAGAGACGUCUUGGUUCGAAAGGACCAGAGAGCUAAACCCAGAUCAUUGAUUUAUCAAAGAUCAUAGCUUAGUUCCAAUCGGGGAUACAAGAUUGGAGGUGAAACGGCCAAAUCCUUACUGGAGUGCAAGAUCAAAUUCCGAUUUAUCGGAAUAAAAGUAGAUCGCUUGAGUCUGGCAGUAAUGCCAAGACCAGAUAAAUGGUUGUCCGGUCGUCGCAAGACGACUAUACAGAACCCGGCUUAUCGCAUGCUAAAUCAA
rnacentral:RNase_P_RNA from 1 species